AUAUUUGUAUGUGUUGAUGAGGUCCCCUCUCAGUCUUCUCUUCUUCAGGCUGAACAAGCCUAGCGCUCCCAGCCUUUCGGCUCUGGGGGCGAGGGAAAGGGCUGUUGUUCCUCAUCCCACUCCCUUGGAACCGGUGAAGCUCUGCCAUUGACUCCACUGGAAGCCGGAUCAAGUUCAAACUCUUCCAGAGUGUUACUCAAGCUACCUCCUGGCAGUCACCAACGUGCCUGAGCCUAGCAGGGAUUUAGUGGUGAUGUGCACUGGCCAACAUACCCACUUCCUAGCAGUGGGAAAAGAUUCACGUCCAUGUAUAUAUGUACUGUUAAGUACAUUGCUCUCUGGAGAGAGACAGUCUCCCUUGUGAGCUCCAGCUGCUCUUGUCCGGUUGCUAUUGUUAUUGCUCAGGCCAGCUGGCAGCUCAUGUGACUCAUGGUUGCUUCAAUAAAGAUUAAUUUCUUGCAGAAGGCUGUCAUUCCUUCUCUUUUCCUGCUGUGCAUAUGAGGCUGCCUGCAUUGAUCAGGGGGUUUGCGUCAUGGAGAGCCCUCAGUAAUUCUGUCAGUGCUGGGAGGAGAUAUUCCCCAGGCAGAUGGUGCCCGCCUGUCCCAGCAGCGUGCCGUAGCACCCGAGAGGGAGAGGAUGGCCUUGGUCCUUUGGAGGAAAAGGAGCUGCUCGUCAGCCUUGUCCUACCCUCAGCCAGCCACUGGGGCAGCAGGCAGGUACCUCGCAAGCAGUAAUGCAAGCAGGGGUAAGGAAAAAAGCUUAAGGAUGCAUUUAAGCAAUAAAGGCAGGAGUGUUUAUAGGAAAAAAACAUCUCUACAGUUUCACUUUUUUUGAGCACUAUGUAGACAGGUCUUGCCCACCCCUCUGUGUUGGCUGGACAACUGAUGAUGUUCUGCCCCAUCAAAAACCACUGGAGAUCCAGCACAUCAGCAGAGCCUAUGUUAUUGGUGGGGGUUACCUGCUUAAGCCUCAUCAACUAGUAGAAAAGAUCUCUGCUAAAGCUUCCCCACCAGGACUGCUAAAGCUUUAGGUGCCCCUCCUUCCUGGGUCAGUUUUUUAAUGUAAGGGGAUGAGGCAUACACAUGAUAAAGAAACCUGAAAGGCUAUCGUGUCCCCCUCCCCGGCUCUUGUUUCCCUUGAAUCGCUUGCAACCACUGAAACGUCAUCAGAAGCAAGCACCUUUCCAGCACUGCCCAUGUAGAUGUGCGUAGCUGCUGUUUUCACACCCGUGUAAUGAUUGCUGCUGCUUGCGGCAGGGAUGAGGACAUGACCUGCACCAAACCAUCUCAUAAGGUGAUAAUGCACCUGGAGAGUCAUCAUUUCUUUUUCCCAAUAAGCAGGAGACUGGAGGAGUGCAAUUUCUUGCCAACCAUGGGAAUUAAGGUCAUUUUUUUGGUAAAAAAUACUCCAAAAAACCAUAAUUAAAAAAAAAAAAAAAAAGCAAAGCUUUUUCUGUGUGUAUACACUGGCCAUCUCAUGAUCUUCAUUCCCAUUUCACCGCUGCCAGGGUUCCCCUGCAAGGAGCAGCACCUUUAAUGCGAGUGGGUGGCAGAGCAGUGCCCGGCCGGACGCGCUCUCCUUCCGGAGCUCGUGCUGUGUCUGGCGGCAGGGGCUCCUGCUGCCCUGCGAUGGCACCCCGUUGUCAUUUUCAGGAGCAGCAAAGCAGAUACCUUCGAUGACUCAGCUUUUAGAAACCUGUUGCAGAAAAGUGCCGCAUUACCAUUUUGGUCGUAGUCGUAGAAAUGGCAGCACCGGGGGCUGGCUGGCUGGAAGCUGCGAGGCAGGCAGGUGUCGGGUGGGUUUUUUUACACCUGUGCCCACAAAAAAUCCCUGUCCUGCAGUCAAUGUGCUUGCACUUACCAGUCCGUAAUUUGCUGCUUGCUAUGGGCGGGUUACAGCUCUUCUGCGACCAGAGCAAAACCCCAGGAACCUAUUUGUAAGCACCGACAAGAUUUACCCAGUGUUGAAAAGAGUAAGAGAGAGAUUUUGUUGGGUUAAGAGCAUGCAGUUGAGCAGUGGGGAUACAAAGCCAGCAGCCAGGCUAGGAAACACCUGCAGACCCGCUGAGCCUUCCCGGGGCUUGCACAGGCAGAAGCCAGCAGUUACAAGCAUGUCAACACUCCAACUCCAGUAGGAAAGAAAUCCCUAUUUAUGUAGGCAUAGGCAAGAACAAAAAAGAAAAUCAAAGAGAUACCAAAGGUGCAAAGUUAAAUAUUUCAUUGUGAAUUGGCUCCAAUUAGUUGUCAGUUAAGCUCCAGCAAUUAUCAAUUAGUUCUGCUAAGGCCAGCUGGGCAGUGGCAGAUUGGCCUCUAUGGGUUGUGCUCAUGUGUUACCCUUUUCCUUUUAUUUUAGACAACCCCCCCAGCUCUAACUAAGGGUCUGAGAAGAGGGAGCAACCUCAGGCCAGGCAAUUACCCACAGGUAAUACUGGGGAGCAUCAGUCUGUGCUAGCAGCUUGAAGCCUUUUGAGCUGCUCUCCAUCCUUCAUUGCCCACGCGCCGCUUGGGUCCUGCUCUGCCAGCGUGAGCAUGAAUCUCCCCAGAGGCUUUAUGUGGGGCUCACCGUGUGCCCGGGGGUGGCCCAACCACAGCUUGCUUACAGCCCAUGGGAGCCUUCCCAGUGCCUGCUCCGAGGGCAGCAGAUGCCGCUUUUUCUCAUGCGGAACUGCAGGUGAGCAGGGCGCAGCCUUGCGUAGCAGCUGAGGAUGCUCAGGGCUUCUGCAAAUCGGGUUUUUCAGUACCCUGAAAAAAACUUGAGGACCUCGGAGCACUUGUGAAAAGCCCAGGUUAAGCAAUUUCCUGACUCUCUAGAGGGAUUUGGUGGUGAGGACAGUGGGAAUCUUUCAGCCUUGUGGUGUGCUGGCUUGGCUCCAAAAUGCGUUGCUGUUUCCUGCCCUACUAACCGCGUGUCUGCCAGUUCCCACUGCUGACAAAGCCCAGCUUCCUCAUGCCACAGCCCCCUUGCUGCGCAGCUCCGGCUCGCGCCUGCAGCGAGCUCCUAGAGGAGACACUGCUGGGCGAGUCCUUCCAAAGCCUUGCAAGGCGGUAAGUUUGGGUGGACCUUUGCAGCACUGGGGUGGGAAGGAAGCCACCUCCUGCCAAGGUAAAGCUGCGUUUCUGAGCUGCAGACAUAGGAAAUGGUUUUUUGAAGAAACAGUUGAUAGACAUAGCUUUUUAUAACCAGGUGCAGAAGCAAUGCAUUUGCAAAAGCAGCUCUCCUCUAGAAACACAGCCAGAGGUGGUAGAUGCUCCACGCAGAUUCCCGCCAGCACAGCCGGAGGCGGUUCCUCUUCUGGGAGGCUGAGUGACCGGCAGUGAGCAUCAACCUCGUCUGCUGAGAGACGUAGCACCAGGUGGGACGGUGGGGGCGAGCACUGGAGCGAGGAGGGGGAGCCCCGGAGCUGCCUCGGAGGGUGUUUUGGAAAAACACAUGUGGUGCAUGCUUUGCAGUGACGUGCGGAAAACGGACUCCACAAUCUGUAAGAUUGUAAAGUAGGUAUGUUUAUUCAGCGCUGGGCAGCACGGGGGGUAGUCCCACCAAAGUCGUGCGCGCGUGUGUGGUAGCUUGCCUUGAAGUUCUACGACAGUGUUACAUAUACAUAAGAUUCCCAAAUACACCUAUACAUAUGCAUGACUUGUCCUUGCUUCGUAUUAAAAUUAGCCCCAAGAAGUCGUUUCCAUAAACUCCUCCCAACUGUGCUUGCACAGUGUCUCCUGGUGGUGGUCGUGGGGGUCAUGGGGGAUGAAGGCCGAUGAUUCCUCUUCGUCACCGCUAGUAACCCCUUGUUCUUGCGCAGACUCAGUUGCUCCUUGGCUCUUGUCCAAACUACAGGGUCGGUUUAGCUGGUUCUCAAGGCAACUUCUCGGUUCUUAUCAAGAACUUGUACAAUAGACAAUAGUGAGAAGAUGUUGCUUAAAACCGUGCUCUACUAGGAUCCCCUUUUUGGCAGCUUUCAGCCGGAGCUGCCAGGCCCGUAACUGGCCGCAGGCCUGAUGGGGAGGCUGCCCCACGCUCUGCCGGGCUGUCCCUCUCACCCCCAGAACAAAUCCAGCGCUAUCUUUAGUCCCCCAGCAUUUUAGGGGUCCGUCAAACAAAUUAAUGCCCGGGGCCAAUCUGCAUGUCUACCACUACCAGGGGGGCAUGAGGAAAAAACCAAAACAUCUCUUUAUCUGGAAGAGGUACAGGGCGGUCGCUGAGCUUGUGAGGAAUCUGCACAUCUUGGGAGAAAUACUUUCAGCCAAGCCCAGCGGUGCCCACCCACAGCUAAUAGCCUCCUGUCUACCAGAUGCUAUUCCCUUAGACUCCAGCAAGCAAAAAGGAAAGGUCCUUCCCUGCGUUUUGGCUGGGAUGAUGCAUGUCCCUGUGUCGCUGUCCCUGAGUCGCUCUCCCUGGAGACACGGGCAGCUGGCUGGCUGGGUUGUUUAUGUUAUCCCAAGGCAAAAUCCCCUCUCCCUCCCCUCCGGCAUCACUAAGUGCUAUUGUUUAACCCCCGUGUGCACCAGCUUGCUCACGGAUGGGCUCACUUUCUUUUUGGCCCCGUUACAUCAGCAAUAAGCUAUCCUAGUCUUUAUUCACCUACCGAUGAAUUAUACAUUGAUUAUACAACAGCAGCUCUCUGCAUGGAUGGGCUGGGCUCUCGCUCUCCCACGUGGCAUCACGCAAAGCGCAGCUCAGCCCAGCUGCGGCUCGGCCCUCCCUGAUGCCCUGAGGAAAAUGAACGUUCACUUUCCGGGCUCGCAAGCAGCAGAGCCUGAGCUGAGAAGACGGAGCGUCUGGGCUGGAUGGGGAAGCACGCUCGGGUUUGCUCUCCCUCUGCCACAGCUCCGGUGGGAGCUGACGCUGUCCUUCCCCACUGCCCCCUGCUUUCCCCUCCUCUCUAUAUAACCUGACCCAUCGCCAUAGACACGUUGACAUAAAUAUUUAAAGACGGCAGAGAGACAGACCCCGCAGACGGGAACCGUUUGCUGAGUUCAUUAGAAAGAGGAACUUCAGAUGCAGCUACAGGUCUCUGCUUGCCGCAUCCUGGCCCAAAGGCUGCGAGGCAAACGUAACCCCCCCGGGGUUAUCGGUGCUUCGGCUGAAUUUGCAGAGCUGGGCACAGGGAUUUUCGGAUGAGCAGCACCCACAGAAAACAUAUUCUGGAGAGGUCCCCUUAGAUAUGUGGAUGAGGUUCUUAAUAUUAUUUUUUCUACUCAAAAUGAAGGCGUUGGCUGGCUCCCCAGGGGCACAGGGGGGCCUCUCCUGAGGCGAUGGAGCCCUACUUUCCCACUGCCAUAGGCCAGCCUGUGCCCUGCCGCUUGCCCUUGCUCAGUCCCUGCCUUGAAAAACUCCAUUGUGGGGUGUUGGCAGCCUAGGAAAUUAUUCUUACAUGCUCUGGGACUAUUAGCCUCCUUUAGGAUAGAUUUCUGAGCUUCUUUUCAUGCAGCUCCAAAAUGUCCUAUUUAAAGAUUUUUGGUGAUGCUGCUGUUGGUUUGGGGUUUUUUUUACCACCACAGGUAAAUUGGAAAUCUAAGCUAUUUCUGUCAUAUUUCCCACAAGAAAAUAAGAUUAAGUGGUUAAAAGCUAACUAGGACUUCACCCGUAAAAUGACGUUCAUUUUAUUCCCACAGUUUGUCCAUCAUUUUUGCGCUGGCUGGGAGGAGGGCAGGGGGGUUGCCACGCAAACCCGAGCCACGCAGCCUGGAGUACCACGUCAGCGGCCAUCCCGCAGUCCCCAGCAGGUGAGGGACUCCCAUCUGCUCUCCCAAAUCUCCUGGAGACCCUGGGUGUUCGGAUGUUUAGAGCCUGCCUCAAUGCUCAUCGUUUCACACCCCUGGUCGCCAGCCCUCCAGGCGGAGGUGGGAGGUGAUGAGGAUGACGGUCUGUCCUCUCCUCUCAUCACUCUCCAUCGCUUUCUAUAAAACACAAGGGGUUUUAAGGUGGAGCUGCUGGAAGGCUGGCAGGCAUCUCCCCGGGAGAAGCAGGCUCGAAGUCCCGGGGACUGGGCUUGCCGAGUCCUGCUGGGAAGGGAUGGCCGACCAAAGCCGGGGCUGGGAGGUGGCUCAAGCCGCGUUGGCUCCAGCGUCCCCCGGUGAAUCAUACCCAUAGAGGUCAGCUGCACCAGAACCCGCCAGCAUGACGCUGGCUUUUAGAAAAACAGGUUCACA